rnacentral:rRNA from 1 species
UACGUAGGGGGCGAGCGUUGUCCGGAUUUAUUGGGCGUAAAGAGCUCGUAGGCGGUUUGGUAAGUUGGAUGUGAAAUCUCCAGGCUCAACUUGGAGGGGUCAUUCGAUACUGCCAUGACUAGAGUUCGGUAGGGGAGUGUGGAAUUCCUGGUGGAGCGGUGAAAUGCGCAGAUAUCAGGAGGAACACCUAUUGCGAAGGCAGCUCGCUGGGACGUAACUGACGCUGAGACGCGAAAGCGUGGGGAGCAAACAGG